rnacentral:tRNA from 1 species
GGACGGUUGGCGCAAUGGUAGCGCGCAGCUCUCCUAACUCUUUCACAGUCGUCUUUGAUUGGCUGCAUGGACAUGUGCCAUCAGCCAAUCGGAGAAGGCCUACACCUAGGGUAGUAAAGCUGAGGCUGUGGGUUCGAGUCCCACAUCGUUCG